AACAGAGAGAAAGAGAGAAGUAUGGAGAGGAAGAAAUGGAGGCAGAAAAAGACAGAGAGGAAAAGAAAAGACAGAGGUACUCCAGCAGAGCUGUUGGGCAACCAAUUGGACAAGAUCAGUUUGAAAGUGACCAUUAGCCUAAUUUUGAAUGGUGGUCAUUGACUGAACUUUCACCCAUGAGCAUGAUAACUGACAGGUGGAGAUGAGCCAAAGGUCUCAAUGGGUCAAAGCUUCUCCUGAUGGUGACUCCAGGCUGUUCUCACACACUGAUUGAUGGACAACCCCAGAGGAAAUGUACGGCAUUCUAAACCUUACAUUCCAGGCGGAGGUGGAGGAGAUUCCAAGUUUGGGCUUUGGUUUGAUACCAGACAUUGUUAUUUCCCCUAUCCCCAUGACCAUGCCAUUGCAAGCAUCCUACCUUCCCAUCAACACAGCCGUAAACAGGACGUAAACAUUCAUACCUAUCCCACAACACCAAGGAGUAAACAGUGCCCACUAAACCAAACAAGUGGAAUGCCAGGUGUUCCAGUAGACAGACGGGAUGUGGUUGCCUCAUUAAAUCAGUGCCACUGAUAACAA